GGGUUCACCCAUCGGUCAGGCUUAAUUGUCUGUACUGGUAAGAUGAGUCUCAACCUUCUAAGGAACUUUCAUGCCAUUUAUUUGGUGUGACUGGAAAUCAGGACUGUUACUUUGAAAAAAUUAGAGUGUUUAAAGCAGGCUAACGUCUGAAUACAUUAGCAUGGAAUAAUGAAAUAGGACGGACUGAUUCUAUUUCGUUAGUUUCUAGGAUCACCGUA
rnacentral:rRNA from 1 species